AAAAUGUCCACCAACCUAGCAGUGUAUUAGCUCUUUUAUAAAUAAAAAUGCAAUGCUUUAAAAACAGAUUAUUUUCUAUUCACAUCAAGCAAUGUGUUAAACGGAUAGAGCACAGCCAUCAAGCGAGAUGUUCAUAUAAGGACUUCUACACGCCUGUAUAAGGGGCAGGAAGAAUGAGUUCACUCACAUUACUGAGCGAAACAAGGCAGUCAAAAUACAGAGGUUAUGGUCCACUUAUGUGAUAUAAAGAACAGGCAAUACAAGUCUGCAGUUUUGGAAUUCAAGCUAAUGCUUACUUUGGGGAGCUAUUGAAGGGGAGCUACCUUAAGGGCGCCAGUGGGAGUGCCAAGAGUGUUCUCUGUCUCGAUUUGGGUAAAUAUACAUAAGUAUAUUUACAUAAUUAAAUAUACAUAAGUAUAUUUACAUGCAAAAUUAAGUAAGAUUGACUAAUAAUUAUUGCAUAAUGGAAGAAAGGCAAAAGAACUGAAGAAGAAGAAACCGCCUCCUGUUAGUGUCAUACAGCGUGUUCUCAUGAGCCCUGUGUCCUGUGUGAACUGGCUUGGCUAGAUUCAGGCUAAAGUCCCAGGUGACACUUUGCACUUGCAGCUGCACCUCCCAGGAGGCUCAGAACAUCAUGUUCAACUGCUCCUGAUA
rnacentral:lncRNA from 10 species